rnacentral:rRNA from 1 species
AUUGAACGCUGGCGGCAUGCCUAACACAUGCAAGUCGAACGGGGCAGCAAUGCCUAGUGGCGGACGGGUGAGGAAUACGUAGGAAUCUGCCCUUAAGUGGGGGAUAACCAGGGGAAACCCUGACUAAUACCGCAUGAUCUCUUCGGAGCACAGAGGGGGACCGCAAGGCCUCUCGCUUCUGGAUGAGCCUACGUCUGAUUAGCUAGUUGGUAGGGUAAAGGCCUACCAAGGCGACGAUCAGUAACUGGUAUGAGAGGAUGAUCAGUCACACCGGAACUGAGAAACGGUCCGGACUCCUACGGGAGGCAGCAGUGGGGAAUAUUGGACAAUGGGCGCAAGCCUGAUCCAGCAAUGCCGCGUGUGUGAAGAAGGCCUUCGGGUUGUAAAGCACUUUAGCCUGGAAAGAAAAAACUUUGGUUAACACCCAAAGACUUGACGGUACCAGGAGAAUAAGCACCGGCUAACUCUGUGCCAGCAGCCGCUGUAAGAC